GGCCUUGUGGUCUAGUGGUAUGAUUCUCGCUUUGGGUUCACUCUCAGACUGCGAGAGGCCCCGCGUUCGAAUCGCGGCAGGGCCC